rnacentral:ncRNA from 1 species
AACUGUUUACCAAAAACACAGGUCUCCGCAAAGUCUUAAGACCAUGUAUGGGGGCGGAUGCCUGCCCAAUGCCGGAAGGUCAAGGAAGUUGGUGACCUGAUGAUAGGGGAGCCGGUGACCAAAGCCCCAGUGAAUGGCGGCUGUAGCUAUAACGGUCUUAAGGUAACGAAUACUAUGGUUUGAGGCAAAAU